UACAGAGGUCUCAAGCGUUGUUCGGAUUCAUUGGGCGUAAAGGGUGCGUAGGCGGCGCGGUAAGUCGGGUGUGAAAUCUUGGAGCUUAACUCCGAAACUGCAUUCGAUACUGCCGUGCUUGAGGACUGGAGAGGAGACUGGAAUUUACGGUGUAGCGGUGAAAUGCGUAGAUAUCGUAAGGAAGACCAGUGGCGAAGGCGGGUCUCUGGACAGUUCCUGACGCUGAGGCACGAAAGCGUGGGGAGCGAACGGG
rnacentral:rRNA from 1 species